CCUACGGGUGGCAGCAGUGAGGAAUAUUGGUCAAUGGGCGGAAGCCUGAACCAGCCAAGUCGCGUGAGGGAAUAAGGCCCUACGGGUCGUAAACCUCUUUUGCCGGGGAGCAAGGGCGGGGACGUGUCCCGGCCCGGAGAGUACCCGGAGAAAAAGCAGCGGCUAACUCCGUGCCAGCAGCCGCGGUAAUACGGCCGAUGCGAGCGUUAUCCGGAUUGAUUGGGUUGAAAGGGUGCGUAGGCGGGCUUUUAAGUCAGCGGUAAACGUUCGGGGCUCAACCCCGUCCGGCCGUUGAAACUGGGGGCCUUGAGUGGGCGAGAAGUAGGCUGCAUGCGUGGUGUAGCGGU
rnacentral:rRNA from 1 species